UAGCGGUUGUUUGUGUGAUCAGCUCCGAAGCUAAAGGUCGCGAGAAUGAGAAAGCCAGAGGGUUGGGGAUUUUCAAGAAAAUGGGAGCAAUGGAAAAACCAAAUUAUAAACGAAGCAAUUUGAAAGGAAGAGUAAUGCCUAAUAAUAAGGACGAGAUUCCUUUUCUAAGUGAACUUCUUCAAAAACAGAAAUCUGUAAGUACAUUAAUAAGCAAUAUCACU